GGAGGGUGCAAGCGUUACUCGGAAUCACUGGGCGUAAAGGACGCGUAGGCGGGAUGCCAAGUCUGAUGUGAAAUCCUAUGGCUCAACCAUAGAACUGCAUUGGAAACUGGUAACCUAGAGUAUGGGAGGGGGAGAUGGAAUUAGUGGUGUAGGGGUAAAAUCCGUAGAUAUCACUAGGAAUACUAAAGCGAAGGCGAUCUCCUGGAACAAUACUGACGCUAAGGCGUGAAAGCGUGGGGAGCAAACGGGAUUAGAUACCCCGGUAGUCCACGCCCUAAACGAUGUUCACUAGUCGUCGGGAUGCUUGUCAUCUCGGUGAUGCACUUAACAGAUUAAGUGAACCGCCUGGGGAGUACGGUCGCAAGAUUAAAACUCAAAGGAAUAGACGGGGACCCGCACAAGUGGUGGAGCAUGUGGUUUAAUUCGAAGAUACGCGAAGAACCUUACCUAGCCUUGACAUUGAAGAAAUACCCUAGAGAUAGAGUAGUGCCCUUCGGGGAAUCUGAAAACAGGUGCUGCACGGCUGUCGUCAGCUCGUGUCGUGAGAUGUUGGGUUAAGUCCCGCAACGAGCGCAACCCUCGUCUUUAGUUGCCAGCAGGUUAAGCUGGGCACUCUAAAGAGACUGCCUUCGCAAGGAGGAGGAAGGUGAGGACGACGUCAAGUCAUCAUGGCCCUUAUGGCUAGGGCUACACACGUGCUACAAUGGGGCGUACAGAGUGUUGCGAUACCGCGAGGUGGAGCCAAUCACUUAAAGCGUCUCUCAGUUCGGAUUGAAGUCUGCAACUCGACUUCAUGAAGCUGGAAUCACUAGUAAUCGUAGAUCAGCAAUGCUACGGUGAAUACGUUCCCGGGUCUU
rnacentral:rRNA from 1 species